GGAGGCGUGGCAGAGUGGUUUAAUGCACCGGUCUUGAAAACCGACGUGGAGGGAACUCCACCGUGGGUUCAAAUCCCACCGCCUCCGCCA
rnacentral:tRNA from 2 species